rnacentral:rRNA from 1 species
CAAUUAUACAGCGAAACUGCGAAUGGCUCAUUAUAUAAGUUAUCGUUUAUUUGAUAGUACCUUACUACUUGGAUAACCGUGGUAAUUCUAGAGCUAAUACAUGCUAAAAAUCCCGACUUCGGAAGGGAUGUAUUUAUUAGAUUAAAAACCAAUGCCCUCUGGGCUCCUUGGUGAUUCAUAAUAACUUUUCGAAUCGCAUGGCCUUGCGCCGGCGAUGGUUCAUUCAAAUUUCUUCCCUAUCAACUUUCGAUGUUUGGGUAUUGGCCAAACAUGGUCGCAACGGGUAACGGAGGGUUAGGGCUCGACCCCGGAGAAGGAGCCUGAGAAACGGCUACUACAUCCAAGGAAGGCAGCAGGCGCGCAAAUUACCCAAUCCCGAUUCGGGGAGGUAGUGACAAUAAAUACUGAUACAGGGCUCUUUUGGGUCUUGUAAUUGGAAUGAGUACAAUUUAAAUCCCUUAACGAGGAACAAUUGGAGGGCAAGUCUGGUGCCAGCAGCCGCGGUAAUUCCAGCUCCAAUAGCGUAUAUUAAAGUUGUUGUGGUUAAAAAGCUCGUAGUUGAACCUUGGGCCUGGCUGGCCGGUCCGCCUCACCGCGUGUACUGGUCCGGCCGGGCCUUUCCCUCUGUGGAACCUCAUGCCCUUCACUGGGUGUGGCGGGGAAACAGGACUUUUACUUUGAAAAAAUUAGAGUGCUCCAGGCAGGCCUAUGCUCGAAUACAUUAGCAUGGAAUAAUGAAAUAGGACGUGUGGUUCUAUUUUGUUGGUUUCUAGGACCGCCGUAAUGAUUAAUAGGGACAGUCGGGGGCAUCAGUAUUCAAUUGUCAGAGGUGAAAUUCUUGGAUUUAUUGAAGACUAACUACUGCGAAAGCAUUUGCCAAGGAUGUUUUCAUUAAUCAGGAACGAAAGUUAGGGGAUCGAAGACGAUCAGAUACCGUCGUAGUCUUAACCAUAAACUAUGCCGACUAGGGAUCGGACGAUGUUAUUUUUUGACGCGUUCG